UUUCUGAUAAUACAGCAUUGUGAAGUCGGGGGAAGGCUGGCAGAGGGGCACAGUCUAGUCUGUGACCUGAGCCAUCAUGGUAGGGCGUCCAGGGUGAGGGGAGGGUGGUGUGAAUCCCCAGUAAUGCAGGUCCUUUCCAGGCCAGGCCCCUAGUCCCCAGGAGUGUGGGGAUGCCUGAGGUCUACUACUGCCUUAUCCAGAGCUGCCACCCCCGGCGAUGACUCAGAGUUCCUGUGGCCCCAGCAUCAUCCCUCCAUCCCUGGCUGCGAGGCCAGAGCAGAGUUGCAGACCUGAGAGGCCUUGAAUUUGUUUGAUAUAGGACUUUGCCACCAGACAAAGUGCUUUGCCUGUGAGGUCUGGCUUGGCCUGGCCUCUGAGAAAGAACAAACACAGACCUCACUGGAAGGAACCUGGAGAACGGGAGAGGAGAGGCUGCUGCUGUCUGCCCUCCCAGCAGCAGAUAUAAAGACAAUGGGCUUCUAAGUCCCCUAGAGUCCCAGCUGUGUAAUUUAAGAUGGAUCCCCAGCUGGGUUGAAAGGAACGUCAAGACCCUUCCUUUCUUAUGACCUAUGUAUCAACUCCCUUCUACCUUUCCUCCCUCCACUUGGAGCCAGUUCUAGUUGGUGAAAUGUA
rnacentral:lncRNA from 1 species